GUUCCAUAAGACAUUUUCAUUUGACUGUUUAGUACAUCGAGCACUAAACCAAACAUAUUAGAAAGUCGUAUGAUUGAUCACUUAAAAAAAAGAUCUGUUCUCAAAUGUAGACUUUAGUGAACAGAGACCAGAUUCACUCUCUCUCUCAUAAUCAUCACUCGAUAUUUAGUCCAUAGAUUCUUAUGAACAUGCUGAUCUGAGUUAG